rnacentral:rRNA from 1 species
AAUAGCCAAUGCAUUAAUAUGAUGCAAUAUCGAAGUCGAAUAAAAUUCUGGGUAGACUAUGAUAAUGACAUUAUCUAUCUAGAUGUCUUGACCAAAAUACGUGCCAGCAGUCGCGGUAAGACGUUAAAGACGAGUGUUAUUCAUGUUUAAUCGGUUUAAAGAGUCCCAAGACUGUUAAUAAAGCCUACUGGGGACACAUUAACUAGAGUUAUAUGAAAGGGGGCUGUGAGGUACUGUCGGGUGGAGAGAUAAAAUUCCAUUAUACAGAUGAUGGCACCAACAAAUGCGAAGGCAUCCUCUUAUGUAAUAACUGACGUUUUCAGACGAAGGCUUAGGGAAGAAAAAUGGAUUAGAUACCCUCGUAUUCUAAGCAGAAAAUGAUGAAUGUCAUAGGUUGAAGAUAAAUAAUAUUUAUUUUGGUCUAUAAAUGAAAGUGUAAGCAUUCCACCUCAAGAGUAAUUUGGCAACAUUGGAACUGAAAUCAUCAGGCCGUUUUUGAAACCAGUAGUGAAGUAUGUUGUUUAAUUUGAUAACCCGCACAAAACCUUACCACUAUUUGCAUAAAUAUUUAUGUAUAUAUUUACAAGUGUUGCACGGCUGUCUUCAGUUGAUGUCGUGAGGCUAGGUUACUCCUAACAAUCAACGCAAACCCUUACUUUAUUUUUAUAUAAAGUUGUUCACCUAUCAUGGGAGAUGCUAAUAGGGA